GGUUCCAUAGUGUAGCGGUUAUCACGUCUGCUUUACUCGCAGAAGGUCCUGGGUUCGAGCCCCAGUGGAACCA
rnacentral:tRNA from 1 species